GGUCGCAAAUUUGUGUCAUUACCUCUUGGACUAAUCUUCUCGCGAUAAGAUUAUCAAACGGAUAGCAGCGAUAAAGGUCCGACCGCGAAUUCACGUCGGGUCGCUAGCGGAUUCGAGAGUAGUAUGCUCCGAAAUGGCGGAAAUAGGUGAACGUGUUAUUGUGACACAUGGAGAUGGAUGUAACGACGAACUACGCGAUUAAUUUUCACAAAAUCUGCGAGAAAGAGUGAAAGAGAUCGCGGGUACAAAUCUUUACCUCAGGUCGAUGAGCGGUGGAAAGAAGGAUUUAGCAAAUUUCGUGGGAUUUACCAACGAAUUCGAACAAAUGUUUACAUUGAAACGUCUUGUAUAGAGAAAUUACAUGAAGUCGAUAAAGACAAUGGGAUAUUAGACCAAGGUGUUUACAUAUAAUUCAAUAAUAAAAUGCAAGGUGCUACUUAUUAUAAGAUAGAACAACUGCAAUAAUGUUAUAUUGUUUUAAUUUUUUCAAAAUGUGAAUAUUAAUUAAAGAAAGAAGUAGAAAACUCGACUUGAGAUGGCUACCAGAAAGAUAAUUUGAAAGAUAACUUGUCAUCCGCAUAUAUUCCAGGAGGGAAAUCAAAAUUGAUUAAAUAAGUUUAAAAGAAGAAAAGGAAGAAAAAGAAAAAGAAAAGAAAAAGAAGAAGAAGGCAUUAUGGCUACGAUCAACAAUAUGAUUACUCAUAUUAUUUCUGUCAUUAGAGUUUUUUAAGAAAACUGGUUCCUGUCGGUGACGUUUUGGCAACACAAUCAAAACAUGAGAGCAGCAGCUAUGCGGUAAUAGUAAACAUAUCAAGCAGUUUUGGAAUAGUCUUGUCCGUGAAUAAUUAUCAACUUAAUUAUUCAGAAGCAGUAUAAAUAGGCCAAAGCGAAUCUUAGAAUUCCACAGUGCACUCUACAACGAUUUGAAGAACUUUGAUUCCUAAGGAACUUCCUGCUAAAUUUCUUCAAUUGGUAUUCGGGAAAUUGUCGAAAAUAUUAAUGUUAUGCCAAGAACAUUGAAGAAGUAACAGUGUAUGCUUUUAGUAUACACAAUUUUUAGUAAAGAAGAAAUGAAGAACCUCAUGAAGAUUUACAAAAAUAUAUUGGAAAACACAGACAAAAUGGUAGACGCCGGAGUACGCAUUCGUGUAAUAGGCAAUUUGUCUUUCAUACGAAAAGACAUACGCGAAUCAAUCGCUCGGGCAAUGAUGAGAACUGAGGAAAACAAUAAAAUAAUUUUCAAUUUUGCUCUUUCUUAUACACGUAAGUAUGAUUAGUAUAAACUCUAUUACGUUUAUAUUUCAUACUAAAUAUGAAAGUGAGAGAGAGAGAGAGAGAGAGAGAGAGAGAGAGAGAGAGAACUUACUUCUCUAAAACAUAUGUAUAUAAUUUAAAAAUGCAUUUGAUCUUUUAUCUUUGUAGCAAGGAUGAACUUGCUGCAAAGAUAAAAGAACUUACCCAAACUAUUAAAGAUAUAGCAAAGAGUGUAAAGAAUAAAAACAUCAAAAAAAAAAGAUAUUAUUUCAGAUUUAAUUUUUAAUUGUUUAUACGUUUCAAAUGUUGAUUUACUAAUACGCACUUCUGGAGAGGUGCGACUUAGUGACUUUCUCAUGUGACAAGUUUCUACCGCUUGCCUUUAUUUUACAACAUUAUGGCCUGUUUUUAAUAUAUGGAAUUUGCUCUGUGCAAUAGUUUAUUAUCAUCCCUAUUCUUGAACAUAUAUUGCAUACGAAAAUGGCAGUUUCGUAUACGACUUUUAACAGUUGGUAUUCAUGAAUGAUUACUACGCGGUUGUAUUCGAAAAAUAUCAUGCGAUUUACGUAUGGGUAUGGGUAUGGCAUUCGAAGUGAAGAUUCGUAUGCGAUAAAUAACCAAAAUUUUAUAUAACAGUAAAAAUUUCAUAUAACAAUGGUGGUUUUAAGAAGGUUAAUUAAUUUUAAUGUAAUAAAUGUUUUGGAAAAUGCAAACAUUGUGUUUGAAAAUAGAGAAAGAUUUCAACGUAAUGAUCCAUUUGAAUUAUAUAAUUUGGAGUUUAUGAGAUUAUUUCGUUUAAGUAAAGAUAUGGUACAAAGGGUAAUUGACAUAGUAGAGGAAUAUAGUGAUCCAAUAAGAUUAGCAUUAGAUGCGGAACAAAAGGUAAUAGAAAAGCUGUAUAACAUGUAAUAAUUAAUAUAUUAUAAAUAUUAUACUUCAGAUAUUAUAUUAUUUAGGUUUUGUAUUUAUAACAACUUUUAUUUUUAUAGGUAUUUACUGCUUUUAGAUUUUAUGCAGUUGGAAGUUAUCAGUUAGGUAUUGGAUGCAAUAGAUAUAUUGGAGUUAGUCAAUCCUCUGUAAGUCGUUGUAUUCGAGAUGUAAACAUAGUACUCAAUCACCCCAAUGUGUUUAAUGAAUGGGUUUAUUUUCCGAGGAAUUUAGAAGAGCUUACGACCAUACGUAAUGCGUACGAAAAAUUAAUUAAAUUUAGUUGUUAUUUAAAAUUAUUUGCGUUAUUUAUUUUAAUACGGCAUUUAUAUAUUUUACAUAGAAUAUGGAUUUAAAGUUAUUUGAGUUAUUUUAAUAUGGUAUUUAUAGAUUUUACACAGAAUAUGGAUUCCCAGGUGUCGUAGGAUGUAUAGACUGUACUCACGUGGCUAUAUUUCCACCCUCAAAGAACAAUGAAAUGUAUCCAGAACAUGUAUAUGUAAAUCGAAAAGGAUACCAUUCCAUAAAUACACAGUUAAUUUGUGAUUCAAGAAUG